GACGAACGCUGGCGGCGUGCUUAACACAUGCAAGUCGAACGCUGAAGCUCAGCUUUUGUUGGGUGGAUGAGUGGCGAACGGGUGAGUAACACGUGAGUAACCUGCCUCCUUCUUUGGGAUAACGCCCGGAAACGGGUGCUAAUACUGGAUAUUCACUGGUCUUCGCAUGGGGGUUGGUGGAAAGGGUUUUUCUGGUGGGGGAUGGGCUCGCGGCCUAUCAGCUUGUUGGUGGGGUGAUGGCCUACCAAGGCUUUGACGGGUAGCCGGCCUGAGAGGGUGACCGGUCACAUUGGGACUGAGAUACGGCCCAGACUGCUACGGGAGGCAGCAGUGGGGAAUAUUGCACAAUGGGCGCAAGCCUGAUGCAGCGACGCCGCGUGAGGGAUGGAGGCCUUCGGGUUGUGAACCUCUUUCGCUCAUGGUCAAGCCGCAACAAUGGUUGUGGUGAGGGUAGUGGGUAAAGAAGCGCCGGCUAACUACGUG
rnacentral:rRNA from 1 species